rnacentral:tRNA from 2 species
GCUGCUGUAGCUCAGGGGUAGAGCACUUCAUUGGUAAUGAAGAGGUCCAGAGUUCGAAUCUCUGCAGCAGCACCA